AGAAAAUCUGUUGAAGCUGACGAUUGAUAGUUUAACAAGAAAAUUUGAGCAAUCACAAAAUUCACUAAAACAAGCUGAGAGUAGAGAAAAUACAUUGCAAGAAAAAAUAUCACAAAUGAGUCAAGAAAACGAAGCAAGAAUGCAAG